rnacentral:rRNA from 1 species
AUUGAACGCUGGCGGCAGGCCUAACACAUGCAAGUCGAACGGUAACAGGAAGCAGCUUGCUGCUUCGCUGACGAGUGGCGGACGGGGUGAGUAAUGUCUGGGAAGCUGCCUGAUGGAGGGGGAUAACUACUGGAAACGGUAGCUAAUACCGCAUAAUGUCGCAAGACCAAAAGAGGGGGACCUUCGGGCCUCUUGCCAUCGGAUGUGCCCAGAUGGGAUUAGCUUGUUGGUGGGGUAACGGCUCACCAAGGCGACGAUCCCUAGCUGGUCUGAGAGGAUGACCAGCCACACUGGAACUGAGACACGGUCCAGACUCCUACGGGAGGCAGCAGUGGGGAAUAUUGCACAAUGGGCGCAAGCCUGAUGCAGCCAUGCCGCGUGUAUGAAGAAGGCCUCGGGUUGUAAGUAC